rnacentral:rRNA from 1 species
GACGAACGCUGGCGGCGUGCUUAACACAUGCAAGUCAAACGGUAGGCCCUUCGGGGUACACGAGUGGCGGACGGGUGAGUAACACGUAGGAAUCUACCUAGUAGUGGGGGAUAACGUUCCGAAAGGAACGCUAAUACCGCAUACGUUCUGAGGAAGAAAGCAGGGGAUCGCAAGACCUUGCGCUAUUAGAUGAGCCUGCGUCCGAUUAGCUAGUUGGUGGGGUAAAGGCCUACCAAGGCGACGAUCGGUAACUGGUCUGAGAGGAUGAUCAGUCACACUGGAACUGAGACACGGUCCAGACUCCUACGGGAGGCAGCAGUGGGGAAUAUUGGACAAUGGGGGCAACCCUGAUCCAGCCAUGCCGCGUGUGUGAAGAAGGCCUUCGGGUUGUAAAGCACUUUAAGCGGGGAGGAAGGCUCGAUGGCUAAUAUCCAUCGGGAUUGACGUUACCCGCAGAAUAAGCGCCGGCAAACUUCGUGCCAGCAGCCGCGGUAA